rnacentral:rRNA from 1 species
UGGGGAAUAUUGCACAAUGGGCGCAAGCCUGAUGCAGCAACGCCGCGUGAGGGACGACGGCCUUCGGGUUGUAAACCUCUUUUAGUAGGGAAGAAGCGAAAGUGACGGUACCUGCAGAAAAAGCACCGGCUAACUACGUGCCAGCAGCCGCGGUAAUACGUAGGGUGCGAGCGUUGUCCGGAAUUAUUGGGCGUAAAGAGCUCGUAGGCGGUCUGUCGCGUCUGCUGUGAAAACCCGAGGCUCAACCUCGGGCCUGCAGUGGGUACGGGCAGACUAGAUGCGGUAGGGGAGAAUGGAAUUCCUGGUGUAGCGGUGGAAUGCGCAGAUAUCAGGAGGAACACCGAUGGCGAAGGCAGUUCUCUGGGCCGUAACUGACGCUGAGGAGCGAAAGCGUGGGGAGCGAACAGGAUUAGAUACCCUGGUAGUCCACGCCGUAAACGUUGGGCGCUAGAUGUGGGGACCAUUCCACGGUUUCCGUGUCGCAGCUAACGCAUUAAGCGCCCCGCCUGGGGAGUACGGCCGCAAGGCUAAAACUU